rnacentral:rRNA from 1 species
GAUGAACGCUGGCGGCGUGCCUAAUACAUGCAAGUCGUGCGGUACACUUCGGGUGACGAGCGGCGGACGGGUGAGUAAUGCAUAGGAACGUGCCCCAAAGUGAGGGAUAACUGCUCGAAAGAGUAGCUAAUACCGCAUAUUAUCUUCGGAUCAAAGCUUCGGCGCUUUGGGAGCGGCCUAUGUCUGAUUAGCUAGUUGGUAGGGUAAAGGCCUACCAAGGCGACGAUCAGUAGCUGGCUUGAGAGGAUGAUCAGCCACACUGGGACUGAGACACGGCCCAGACUCCUACGGGAGGCAGCAGUAGGGAAUUUUCCACAAUGGGGGCAACCCUGAUGGAGCAACGCCGCGUGCAGGAUGAAGGCCUUCGGGUCGUAAACUGCUUUUAUCUGUGACGAUUUUGACGGUAGCAGAUGAAUAAGGAUCGGCUAACUACGUGCCAGCAGCCGCGGUAA